UACGUAGGGGGCGAGCGUUGUCCGGAUUUAUUGGGCGUAAAGCGCGCGCAGGCGGUUCGUUAAGUCCGAUGUGAAAGCUCCCGGCUCAACUGGGAGAGGUCUUCGGAUACUGGCGAACUCGAGGGAGGCAGAGGAAGGUGGAAUUCCGGGUGUAGUGGUGAAAUGCGUAGAGAUCCGGAGGAACACCAGUGGCGAAGGCGGCCUUCUGGGCCUUUCCUGACGCUGAGGCGCGAAAGCGUGGGGAGCGAACAGG
rnacentral:rRNA from 1 species